UACGGAGGGGGUUAGCGUUGUUCGGAAUUACUGGGCGUAAAGCGCACGUAGGCGGGCUGUUAAGUCGGGGGUGAAAUCCCGGGGCUCAACCCCGGAACUGCCUUCGAUACUGGCUGCCUUGAGUUCGAGAGAGGUGAGUGGAAUUCCGAGUGUAGAGGUGAAAUUCGUAGAUAUUCGGAGGAACACCAGUGGCGAAGGCGGCUCACUGGCUCGAUACUGACGCUGAGGUGCGAAAGCGUGGGGAGCAAACAGG
rnacentral:rRNA from 1 species